GUGGGGAAUUUUGGACAAUGGGCGCAAGCCUGAUCCAGCAAUGCCGCGUGUGUGAAGAAGGCCUUCGGGUUGUAAAGCUCUUUAGCCGAUGAUUAUAAUGACUGUAGUCGGAAAAUAAGCCCCGGCUAACUUCGUGCCAGCAGCCGCGGUAAUACGAAGGGGGCGAGCGUUUUUCGGAAUCACUGGGCGUAAAGCGUGCGUAGGCGGCUUUGCAAGUUGGGAGUGAAAGCCCAGGGCUCAACCCUGGAAUUGCUCUCAAAACUGCAAGGCUCGAAUUCGGGAGAGGAUAGCGGAAUUGUCAGUGUAGCAGUGAAAUGCGUAGAUAUUGACAGGAACACCAGUGGCGUAAGCGGCUAUCUGGACCGAUAUUGACGCUGAGGCACGAAAGCGUGGGGAUCAAACAGGAUUAGAUACCCUGGUAGUCC
rnacentral:rRNA from 1 species